rnacentral:rRNA from 1 species
UACGUAGGGUGCAAGCGUUAUCCGGAAUUAUUGGGCGUAAAGAGCUCGUAGGCGGUUUGUCGCGUCUGCCGUGAAAGUCCGGGGCUCAACUCCGGAUCUGCGGUGGGUACGGGCAGACUAGAGUGCAGUAGGGGAGACUGGAAUUCCUGGUGUAGCGGUGAAAUGCGCAGAUAUCAGGAAGAACACCCGUGGCGAAGGCGGCUCUCUGGAACGCAACUGACGCUGAGACGCGAAAGCGUGGGGAGCAAACAGG